GCCCAGCCUUGAUGUCUUAGUUCUCAUGGUCGGAAACGCUUUGUUUACAUGCAGCCCAGAGUCAGUGCUACAAAGAGGCGUGAAAGAAGGAUGCAGAUCACCAUAGCUCCCUCCGCAUCUACCAUGACUGUCCCACUGGGGCCUCCCAUUCAUUCAUUUAUUCAUCCGACGGAAGUUUAUGAAACAUUGGAUGUCCACCAGGCACGGAGCUGGGGACACGCCCGUCAAGCAGAUCCACCCGUCGUCGGGGAGCUUCUUCUUUGCAGAAGUUCCACCACCAGCAUCCUUCCUGGCUCGCCCUGGCUGAUAAAGUGCCCAUAACGAUGCUGCUGGGAAAGCCGGGUUUCUCCCCGUGCGCUCCAUUCCAAUCGAGUCGGUCUUCCACUGCGUGCUUUAAUACUGUUAGAAGCAAAUCAGAAUUAAUGAGAUUACCUCCUUUGAAAUGUUAUAUACAAUUAACCUCGAAUUAAGAACAAUAUGUAUUUGAAUUUGCCAAUCAGUAACACCUAGCGAUCGCUGAAAUCCACAGCAGCAAAUAGACAUUGACUCUAAUCUGCCAGUCCAACGCCUGGAGGAAAACAACUUUGAAGACCCACCGGUGAAGUCUUCACUGAGGCCAGGAAAGGGGUCACCCGACCUUCAUGCGUCCUCCUUGCUGUGGCGGCCACAAGUCCUGUUCCUGCUGUAUCUCCCAGAGGGUAGUGGGGAGGGGCUCGCUGUCUUCAGGGUGAGAAGAUAGUUCGGUCAAGGAAGAGGGUAUCCAGAGAAGGACUCGCCACAAUGACCAAUGCCCCAGAGUCCCCUUCAAGGGCAGCCAGCUCUGACCACCGUCUAGAACUACUGGCUGCUCCCAUUCCAUCAGCUUUUGCCUUCUUAGAACAGCCCCACUUCUUGGCUGCGUAGAACAGAGAUUUGCUGGGCUUCUGGCAACAACAUAGGUGAACAGCCACCAGAGGAUCCCCUGCUGCCCCCUUCAACGAGGAUGAAACAAUUCAUACUGAGCUCCAGUGGUCUGCACAACCCCAAAGAUUUAUGCUUCUCGUUGUAAGGAGGUAAAACGACUUUCAAAAACCA